rnacentral:rRNA from 1 species
UACGUAGGAGACGAGCGUUGUCCGGAGUUACUGGGCGUAAAGGGUGCGCAGGUGGCGGCGCGCGUGGGGGGUGAAAUCGCCCGGCUUAACUGGGCGGGGGCCUUCCAGACGGCGUGGCUUGAGCAGCGGAGGGGGACGUGGAAUUCCGGGUGUAGAGGUGAAAUUCGUAGAUAUUCGGAAGAACACCAGUGGCGAAGGCGACUUACUGGACACAUACUGACGCUGAGGUGCGAAAGCGUGGGGAGCAAACAGG